rnacentral:misc_RNA from 1 species
UCUUGAUGGUGGCAAUGGCAG